rnacentral:rRNA from 1 species
UACGUAGGGCAGCAAGCGUUUGUUCGGAGUUACUGGGCGUAAAGAGUGCGUAGGUGGUGCCCUAAGUCUGUUGUGAAAUCUCCCGGCUUAACUGGGAGGGUGCGGUGGAAACUGGGGUGCUUGAGUGUGGGAGAGGUAAGCGGAAUUCCUGGUGUAGCGGUGAAAUGCGUAGAUAUCUGGAGGAAUACCGGUGGCGAAGGCGGCGUUCUGGACUGCAACUGACACUGAUGAACGAAAGCCAGGGGAGCAAACGGG